AUUGAACGCUAGCGGGAUGCCUUACACAUGCAAGUCGAACGGAGUUGCGAACGGGUGAGUAAUGUAUCGGAACGUGCCCAGUAGCGGGGGAUCACUACGCGAAAGCGUAGCUAAUACCGCAUACUAUUGGAGCGGCCGAUAGCGGAUUAGCUAGGUGGUGGGGUAACGGCUCACCAAGUAGACGAUCCGUAGCCGGUUUGAGAGGACGACCAGACACACUAGGACUGAGAAAAGGCCCAGAAUCAUACGGGAGGCAGCAGUGGGGAAUGUUGGACAAUGGGGGAAACCCUGAUCCAGCCAUCCCGCGGGUGUGAUGAAGGCCUUCGGGUUGUAAAGCACUUUUGGCAGGAAAGCGGUACCUGCAGAGUAAGCACCGGCUAACUACGUGCCAGCAGCCGCGGUAAUUC
rnacentral:rRNA from 1 species